CGGACACGCCACUGCUUGGCACACCAUGCUGUGAUGACUUCAUCUGGUCCGAUAUGCCGGUGCUUCCCAAAGAAAUCUCCGCCUCAUUCCUCCUGUGAACUCGCCCCACUCCACGUUUCCCCUUGGAUGCUUAAUUAACACUUCAGGCAAACAUGGCCAAGGCAGAACUCUUGAUUUUCCCUUCUAGCUCCCCAAUCUUCCCCAAAUCAAAGAAAAGCCUUCAUAUUUUCAAAAUCGCAUUCCAGCUUGGAUACCUGGUCCACAUGGUUCCCGUGAAGAAUGUCCACGGACCGGGGAAUCUGAGCAAGUGAGACCCUGCUCGCCUAUCUACAGUGUCUUGGUUGAUAUUUUACCAGGUAAACAGUGUGUUGCAGUUAUUUCUCACUGACGAAUGGAGGCAAGUUUCUUCAGGAGCAUCAGACUCUCAAAAUACAACAUGGACAAGUUCCCCAGGAAUUGUAUGCUGGAAAACAUUCUGAAGAAAGCUAAAGAGUUGUCACGAGCAGCUCCAGUGGUGCAACCAGUUAUCACACAGUACUUAAGAGAAUUUCCGUGAGACUAAUCUUGAUUGUUUCUCUCUCUCAUGAAGAUGAAUCGUGGUUCUAAAUGUACUGGGAAAAAUACACUGGGACAAAGAAAUAAAGAAAAAUAGUAGAAACACCUGAAAAAGCCCUACCAGAUAUUCAGAUACCUAAACACUCAAAUAAGUAAAAUGAAUAAACAUUAUUGAGAGAAUUUCCUAUCUUCUUUUAUCCAGUUCUUCUUAAGGCAAAAGCUAGCAGCCGUUCAUUAUACUAAAUAAUUUCUUAGUAAAAUAACGCCUUAUUUUAAGAGCGG
rnacentral:lncRNA from 1 species